GGGUUGUGAGGUUAAGCGACUAAGCGUACACGGUGGAUGCCCUGGCAGUCAGAGGCGAUGAAGGACGUGCUAAUCUGCGAUAAGCGUCGGUAAGGUGAUAUGAACCGUUAUAACCGGCGAUUUCCGAAUGGGGAAACCCAGUGUGAUUCGUCACACUAUCAUUAACUGAAUCCAUAGGUUAAUGAGGCGAACCGGGGGGGAGCAGCCCAGAGCCUGAAUCAGUGUGUGUGUUAGUGGAAGCGUCUGGAAAGGCGCGCGAUACAGGGUGACAGCCCCGUACACAAAAAUGCACAUACUGUGAGCUCGAUGAGUAGGGCGGGACACGUGGUAUCCUGUCUGAAUAUGGGGGGACCAUCCUCCAAGGCUAAAUACUCCUGACUGACCGAUAGUGAACCAGUACCGUGAGGGAAAGGCGAAAAGAACCCCGGCGAGGGGAGUGAAAAGAACCUGAAACCGUGUACGUACAAGCAGUGGGAGCCUCUUUUAUGGGGUGACUGCGUACCUUUUGUAUAAUGGGUCAGCGACUUAUAUUCUGUAGCAAGGUUAACCGAAUAGGGGAGCCGAAGGGAAACCGAGUCUUAACCGGGCGUUAAGUUGCAGGGUAUAGACCCGAAACCCGGUGAUCUAGCCAUGGGCAGGUUGAAGGUUGGGUAACACUAACUGGAGGACCGAACCGACUAAUGUUGAAAAAUUAGCGGAUGACUUGUGGCUGGGGGGGUCAUCCCGACUUACCAACCCGAUGCAAACUGCGAAUACCGGAGAAUGUUAUCACGGGAGACACACGGCGGGUGCUAACGUCCGUCGUGAAGAGGGAAACAACCCAGACCGCCAGCUAAGGUCCCAAAGUCAUGGUUAAGUGGGAAACGAUGUGGGAAGGCCCAGACAGCCAGGAUGUUGGCUUAGAAGCAGCCAUCAUUUAAAGAAAGCGUAAUAGCUCACUGGUCGAGUCGGCCUGCGCGGAAGAUGUAACGGGGCUAAACCAUGCACCGAAGCUGCGGCAGCGACACUGUGUGUUGUUGGGUAGGGGAGCGUUCUGUAAGCCUGUGAAGGUGUACUGUGAGGUAUGCUGGAGGUAUCAGAAGUGCGAAUGCUGACAUAAGUAACGAUAAAGCGGGUGAAAAGCCCGCUCGCCGGAAGACCAAGGGUUCCUGUCCAACGUUAAUCGGGGCAGGGUGAGUCGACCCCUAAGGCGAGGCCGAAAGGCGUAGUCGAUGGGAAACAGGUUAAUAUUCCUGUACUUGGUGUUACUGCGAAGGGGGGACGGAGAAGGCUAUGUUGGCCGGGCGACGGUUGUCCCGGUUUAAGCGUGUAGGCUGGUUUUCCAGGCAAAUCCGGAAAAUCAAGGCUGAGGCGUGAUGACGAGGCACUACGGUGCUGAAGCAACAAAUGCCCUGCUUCCAGGAAAAGCCUCUAAGCAUCAGGUAACAUCAAAUCGUACCCCAAACCGACACAGGUGGUCAGGUAGAGAAUACCAAGGCGCUUGAGAGAACUCGGGUGAAGGAACUAGGCAAAAUGGUGCCGUAACUUCGGGAGAAGGCACGCUGAUAUGUAGGUGAAGUCCCUCGCGGAUGGAGCUGAAAUCAGUCGAAGAUACCAGCUGGCUGCAACUGUUUAUUAAAAACACAGCACUGUGCAAACACGAAAGUGGACGUAUACGGUGUGACGCCUGCCCGGUGCCGGAAGGUUAAUUGAUGGGGUCAGCGCAAGCGAAGCUCUUGAUCGAAGCCCCGGUAAACGGCGGCCGUAACUAUAACGGUCCUAAGGUAGCGAAAUUCCUUGUCGGGUAAGUUCCGACCUGCACGAAUGGCGUAAUGAUGGCCAGGCUGUCUCCACCCGAGACUCAGUGAAAUUGAACUCGCUGUGAAGAUGCAGUGUACCCGCGGCAAGACGGAAAGACCCCGUGAACCUUUACUAUAGCUUGACACUGAACAUUGAGCCUUGAUGUGUAGGAUAGGUGGGAGGCUUUGAAGUGUGGACGCCAGUCUGCAUGGAGCCGACCUUGAAAUACCACCCUUUAAUGUUUGAUGUUCUAACGUGGACCCGUGAUCCGGGUUGCGGACAGUGUCUGGUGGGUAGUUUGACUGGGGCGGUCUCCUCCUAAAGAGUAACGGAGGAGCACGAAGGUUGGCUAAUCCUGGUCGGACAUCAGGAGGUUAGUGCAAUGGCAUAAGCCAGCUUGACUGCGAGCGUGACGGCGCGAGCAGGUGCGAAAGCAGGUCAUAGUGAUCCGGUGGUUCUGAAUGGAAGGGCCAUCGCUCAACGGAUAAAAGGUACUCCGGGGAUAACAGGCUGAUACCGCCCAAGAGUUCAUAUCGACGGCGGUGUUUGGCACCUCGAUGUCGGCUCAUCACAUCCUGGGGCUGAAGUAGGUCCCAAGGGUAUGGCUGUUCGCCAUUUAAAGUGGUACGCGAGCUGGGUUUAGAACGUCGUGAGACAGUUCGGUCCCUAUCUGCCGUGGGCGCUGGAGAACUGAGGGGGGCUGCUCCUAGUACGAGAGGACCGGAGUGGACGCAUCACUGCCCGAGAUGAGUUCUCCCUGACCCUUUAAGGGUCCUGAAGGAACGUUGAAGACGACGACGUUGAUAGGCCGGGUGUGUAAGCGCAGCGAUGCGUUGAGCUAACCGGUACUAAUGAACCGUGAGGCUUAACCUUACAACGCCGAAGGUGUUU
rnacentral:rRNA from 1 species